AGUGGAAUUGCUGGGUCAUAUGGUAACUCUAACAUUUUGAGAAAUUGCUAAACUGUUUUCUAAAUUUAUUGCACCAUUUUAGACUCCUACCAGCAAU
rnacentral:pre_miRNA from 2 species